AAAUAUAUUUUGGUUGUAUAAUUUUAUUCAGCUCCUACGAAGAACACUUCAGAACCUUGUAAGUAUUCUUCUCAUUGUAUGAUUGUUUGUGCCUGAUUCUGUUUUGAUUCACUGUUGCUGUAUUUAGAUACAGUUUCUGGUUCAGGCGAUUUUGGUACAAUAGUUCCACCAGAGGAACCCGAUUACACCACUUACAUCCUGAUUGCUGUGGUUGCGGUGGUCGUAAUCGCUGGAGCGAUUAUUUGUGGCAUUGUCAUCAUGCACCGGCACCGUCAGAAAGGGGGGAACCAAGAGCUCAGUAAAAUGGACCCUGUUUUGGAUGGAUCAAGCACUGAGAAGGUGCCAAUGCCAAUGUUUGAAGAAGAUGUGCCAUCUGUGCUGGAGCUGGAAAUGGACGAACUGGACCAGUGGAUGAAGAAAGAUAGUUAAAGGAUCCUCACAACCAUGAUUUGCUUCCGGAUUUCCUUUUUUUUACCCUUACCCUAGUUUUUCAAUCUAGAGGAACAUACUUGCUAUUAGGAAGCAAGCUUAUUUAUUACACUGAGCAUUACACAGUCAAGCAUCCAUCUCUUAAAAUUACAUCUCAGAGCUCAUCUAGAGCAACAGCUCCUGGUUGUAUUGAAUGGAGGUAGACUGCUACUGCGCACACAGUCAUCAAGUGAGAUUAUAUCAUUUCAAACAUGUGUCACCCAUUUCAUUUGAUUUGAUAAUUUGAUCCCUGCAAUUUUUUAAUGCACAUUUUAAUUUACAUUUCUUUCACAUUAACCAGACAAGAUCCAACCUCCUCAUGAAAAAAAUGCAUCCCCUCUGUCUCUAAAUUCACACAGUAAAGCUGUGUGUGUUCAGCUUGCCGUUUAAUCGGAAAAUAACCUCUCCAGCCCUUACAGAUGACAGCUUACAGCUCCCCCGGUGGCUUUUUCUCUUGCUCAAAUGUUACACGACUCCCUCCAGCUGCAGGUUGUAAUGAAGAAGAUUGUAGGCAUGCAUGACAGAGAACAUCUGUUAAUCUUUCACAGAACAGCUCAGGAUUUAUACAGAGAGCAUUUUUAUUUUAAAUCUCUGAAUCAUUGAAGCGAUGAGACUCUAGCUUCCGAGGCUUUUGAUAAAUUAUUACCCUCUCUGCUGAAGCAGCCCUCUAAAAGCCGCUGCUGAUAAGAUUUCUAUUCCUCCACAGAUAACAGAUGAGUAUUUGUCUAAAUUAUUCUUAUCUCCCAAUGCUUUUCACAGCUUCUCUUCCCCGGUUUGGCCUUUAGAAUAGUUGGAUGUGAAUGAGUUAACACUGAUACAGAUGUGAGUUCUUUCAGAUUCAGAAAGAUUUGCACUGUAAAUAUUACAAACAGCAAAAUAUAAUAUUGUUUUGUAAAUAUAUAUUGUGUUGAAUGUUUUCCUUGUAAAGCUUUUGAAUUUGAUGAUUGAAAAUGUCCUUAUAAAAAUAUGA